rnacentral:rRNA from 1 species
UAUUGGACAAUGGGCGAAAGCCUGAUCCAGCCAUGCCGCGUGAGUGAUGAAGGCCCUAGGGUUGUAAAGCUCUUUUGUCCGGGAAGAUAAUGACUGUACCGGAAGAAUAAGCCCCGGCUAACUUCGUGCCAGCAGCCGCGGUAAUACGAAGGGGGCUAGCGUUGCUCGGAAUCACUGGGCGUAAAGGGUGCGUAGGUGGAUUUUUAAGUCAGAGGUGAAAUCCUGGAGCUCAACUCCAGAACUGCCUUUGAUACUGAGAGUCUUGAGUUCGGAGAGGUGAGGUGAACUGCGAGUGAGAGGUAAAUUCGAGUUUCGCAAGACACCAGUGGCAAGGCGGCUACUGCCCGUCUGACUGGACAGAUACAUA